rnacentral:lncRNA from 1 species
GUGUAUCAUUGGCGGAGACAACAACACUGACAACUUCUUUCUUUUUCCUUUCCUUUUUUUUCAUUUAUUUAUUUAUUUGUUUUGGGGAUUUCUAAUGGAAUGCGUUUGUUUCUCUAUUAGAAGAAAAUUUUCUACUAUGAUUUUGUUACCCAUAAUCUUUGUUUUUUGAUUCAGAUGAGUUAAUGUUUGAAUGUUAUUUUUUGAUGUUAAUGGUUGUUGUUGUCCCAUAAUCUGCUAUAUUAAUGUUUGAUGAAG